UACAGGGGGGCAAGCGUUGUUCGGAAUUACUGGGCGUAAAGGGUUCGUAGGUGGCUUACUAAGUCAAACGUGAAAUCCCUCAGCUUAACUGGGGAACUGCGUCUGAUACUGGAAAGCUUGAGUGCAGGAGAGGAACGCGGAAUUCCAGGUGUAGCGGUGAAAUGCGUAGAUAUCUGGAGGAACACCGGUGGCGAAGGCGGCGUUCUGGACUGCAACUGACACUGAUGAACGAAAGCCAGGGGAGCAAACGGG
rnacentral:rRNA from 1 species